rnacentral:lncRNA from 1 species
UGCUAAAUAGCCAGAGGAAACACACUCCAGGCCCUAUGCCAACACCAAACCGUCGCCCGGGACGGACUGGAAUCUAUCCCUACGUCCCGUUGCGGAAAGGACCACUAGGUAAAUACAAAACCAUUGAACAUAUAUAUAUUGAAAAGCAACUUCAUAGUAUAAAGUCAUCCAUCAUCUAUACUAUAAAGAGGUGUUCGAAACAUGUUCUAAAUAUCAUAUCGUCAUCCAUCGGAUAUUCUAUAAGAACAUGGGUUAUAGGAAAAAUAGUAAUAAUUCAAACUAGCCUUAGUAAGCAUGUUAUCUCAAAGCGUUUCAUAAAACGUAAUCAUUAAAUCAUGCCUUUCAUGUAUGCAUUUCUACUAUUAAAACAUGC